AGAGCGAACGCUGGCGGCAGGCCUAACACAUGCAAGUCGAGCGCCCCGCAAGGGGAGCGGCAGACGGGAGAGUAACACGUGGGAACGUACCCUUUGGUUCGGAACAACACAGGGAAACUUGUGCUAAUACCGGAUAAGCCCUUACGGGGAAAGAUUUAUUGCCAAAGGAUCGGCCCGCGUCUGAUUAGCUUGUUGGUGAGGUAACGGCUCACCAAGGCUACGAUCAGUAGCUGGUCUGAGAGGAUGAUCAGCCUCACUGGGACUGAGACACGGCCCAGACUCCUACGGGAGGCAGCAGUGGGGAAUAUUGGACAAUGGGCGCAAGCCUGAUCCAGCCAUGCCGCGUGGAUGAUGAAGGCCCUAGGGUUGUAAAGUCCUUUCGACGGGAAGAUAAUGACGGUACCCGUAGAAGAAGCCCCGGCUAACUUCGUGCCAGCAGGCCGC
rnacentral:rRNA from 1 species